UUAUUGAUAAUCAGUAAGUCUUAAAAUAAAUAUUUUAAUUUUCUUUCCCUUCCUCUUCUAAUUUGCUAAAAGCAACUGUGUUUGGACUUAUUCUUACACUAGCUUUCUUUCUUUUUUCUUUUUUUCCUUUUUUCUUUUUGCUUCUUAAAGGAAUGAUAAGGAUGCUAUCUACUGGAUUUUGACACAAGUUUUGGCUUGAAGAGGGCAGCAAGACAGGGGCCAGAAAUAGUUUGUGAGAAAAAUGUCAAGCUGAAUAUCAAAUAAGCAUUUGGGAAUGAAGAUUAUUCAGGAUGGGGCAUUGAAUUAAUAAAUGAGAUCCAUUUCAAGCCAUAAAAGGGAGCAUGGGUGUUGUUGUCAUACAAUAGAUUUGAAGCAGGGAUCUGAAACUACCUGCAAAACAUACAGCAUAUUAAUCUUCUUCUGAAGUUGCAAUUCAUUUGGAGGUAAGUUUCUUAACUCAUUUUUGAGAAACUCGCAAAUCAUAUAUUUAGAGACAGCUAGAAGGAAGGAUAAAACAAUGGAUUAGAAUUUUGGGAAACAAAUGCUAUCCAUAUUGUUUUGGAAUUACUGUGUGGUCAC
rnacentral:lncRNA from 1 species